AUUGAACGCUGGCGGCAUGCCUAACACAUGCAAGUCGAACGGUAACAGGGACUACGGUCCGCUGACGAGUGCAGAAGGGGUGAGUAAUAGGUAGGAAUAUACCUAUAGGUGGGGGAUAACUACUCGAAAGAGUGGCUAAUACCGCAUAAUAUCUACGGACUAAAGAGAGGAAUCGCAAGACCGCGUGCCACUAGAAUCGCCUACAUCCGAUUAGCUAGUUUGUUGAGUAAGAGCCUACCAAGGCAACGCUCGGUAACUGGUCGGAGAGGAUGAUCAGUCACACUGGAACUGAGACACGGUCCAGACUCCUACGGGAGGCAGCAGUGGGGAAUUUUGGACAAUGGGCGAAAGCCUGAUCCAGCAAUGCCGCGUGGGUGAAGAAGGCCUUCGGGUUGUAAAGCCCUUUCGGAUAGAAAGAAAACUCUUACUCUAACACAGUGAGAGAAUGACGGUACUAUCAGAAGAAGCACCGGCUAACUACGUGCCAGCCGCCGCCGUAA
rnacentral:rRNA from 1 species